rnacentral:misc_RNA from 1 species
AAUUCUCAACCUUAUUGGCUUUUGCUGAUAAUGGCUUGGAUGUGGGGGUCCUUUUUUGCCGGCUUCUUCAGAGGUCAGCUCCCCUUAAAUGCAUUAGCUGGUGCCCCGCGUGGACUGUCUAUUUGGUGUGAUAAUUAUCUACGCCAUGGAUGUCUUGUGUGCAUCGCUUCUAACUGUCCGUUCAUCUGGACAACAUACAUGACA